ACGGGAGGCAGCAGUGGGGAAUUUUGGACAAUGGGCGCAAGCCUGAUCCAGCAAUGCCGCGUGAGUGAAGAAGGCCUUCGGGUUGUAAAGCUCUUUUGUCAGGGAAGAAACGGUAGAGGCUAAUAUCCUUUGCUAAUGACGGUACCUGAAGAAUAAGCACCGGCUAACUACGUGCCAGCAGCCGCGGUAAUACGUAGGGUGCAAGCGUUAAUCGGAAUUACUGGGCGUAAAGCGUGCGCAGGCGGUUUUGUAAGUCUGUCGUGAAAUCCCCGGGCUCAACCUGGGAAUUGCGAUGGAGACUGCAAGGCUAGAAUCUGGCAGAGGGGGGUAGAAUUCCACGUGUAGCAGUGAAAUGCGUAGAGAUGUGGAGGAACACCGAUGGCGAAGGCAGCCCCCUGGGUCAAGAUUGACGCUCAUGCACGAAAGCGUGGGGAGCAAACAGGAUUAGAUACCCUGGUA
rnacentral:rRNA from 1 species